rnacentral:rRNA from 1 species
CACGCCGUAAACGAUGAGUACUAGGUGUUGGGGUCGACAGGCUUCAGUGCCGCAGUUAACACAUUAAGUACUCCGCCUGGGGAGUACGGUCGCAAGACUGAAACUCAAAGGAAUUGACGGGGGCCCGCACAAGCAGCGGAGCAUGUGGUUUAAUUCGACGCAACGCGAAGAACCUUACCAGGGCUUGACAUCCCUCGGACCGUUCUAGAGAUAGAACUUUCCCUUCGGGGACUGAGGUGACAGGUGG